rnacentral:rRNA from 1 species
UACGUAGGGUGCGAGCGUUAAUCGGAAUUACUGGGCGUAAAGCGUGCGCAGGCGGUUUUGUAAGCCAGAUGUGAAAUCCCCGGGCUUAACCUGGGAAUGGCAUUGGUGACUGCACGGCUAGAGUGUGUCAGAGGGGGGUAGAAUUCCACGUGUAGCAGUGAAAUGCGUAGAGAUGUGGAGGAAUACCGAUGGCGAAGGCAGCCCCCCUGGGAUAACACUGACGCUCAUGCACGAAAGCGUGGGGAGCAAACAGG